UUUUGGACAAUGGGCGCAAGCCUGAUCCAGCAAUGCCGCGUGCAGGAUGAAGGCCUUCGGGUUGUAAACUGCUUUUGUACGGAACGAAACGGCGAGCUCUAAUACAGUUUGCUAAUGACGGUACCGUAAGAAUAAGCACCGGCUAACUACGUGCCAGCAGCCGCGGUAAUACGUAGGGUGCAAGCGUUAAUCGGAAUUACUGGGCGUAAAGCGUGCGCAGGCGGUUAUGUAAGACAGAUGUGAAAUCCCCGGGCUUAACCUGGGAACUGCAUUUGUGACUGCAUAGCUAGAGUACGGUAGAGGGGGAUGGAAUUCCGCGUGUAGCAGUGAAAUGCGUAGAUAUGCGGAGGAACACCGAGGCGAAGGCAAUCCCCGGACCUGUACUGACGCUCAUGCACGAA
rnacentral:rRNA from 1 species